UACGUAGGGGGCGAGCGUUGUCCGGAAUCACUGGGCGUAAAGCGUGCGUAGGCGGUUUGCUAAGUCCGGAGUGAAAGUCCAGGGCUCAACCCUGGGAAUGCUUUGGAAACUGGCAGACUUGAGUGCUGGAGAGGCAAGGGGAAUUCCACGUGUAGCGGUGAAAUGCGUAGAUAUGUGGAGGAAUACCAGUGGCGAAGGCGCCUUGCUGGACAGAGACUGACGCUGAGGCACGAAAGCGUGGGGAGCAAACAGG
rnacentral:rRNA from 1 species